UAGCACAAGCCAUCCAUACAACACUGGGGGGAAAGGUCAAACCGCAUAAGAAGCGUCCACCAAAGACUGCCUGCAUUCCUACGCAACUAAUUUCAUAGCACUACAUAAAGAGUCAACAUGGAGAAGCCCACAAUAAAAGAUUACCAAAAUGCAGAAAAUCUACAUUCUCAUCAUGACUCAUCUGUGAACUAUAAAUGUAUUGUGUAUUGGUCCUAAGCACAGAUGAACCCACUAACAAUACAUUUUCAGCUUUGUACAACUUCAAGACUAAUGAGCAUAUUCUGAGAUUCAAAAUCUCCUAUAAAGAUAUGAACUACAUUAAAAAAGAUUUUCUGCUAACAUCAUUCCCUCUACAUACUCAUCAUUAUGCUGUGCCUCAUGAGCUCGUAUGAAGUAAACAACAUAUUUAAAGGUUAGACUAUCUUACACUGGGAACAGCCAACAAAGCCUAUUCAUCCAACCUCAACACUGCUCACUGUGAACUUUCCAGCUCAUCCUCUGACCCCCCCCCCCCAGAGAUCCUGGUAUUUGUCCCUAACACUCAUUCGCCUCUUCCAUGCAGCCCUUAGAAGGAACUGUCAAUAAUACUAAGAUGACCCGGUUUGCAGGAAUGCAUGUCAGCACCAUAUGAAGAGGUUGAUGUUACAAUGACUAUCCAGAUCAACCCACAAUUCCAAGUCUAAUGCUGAUGAGAGCAGGUUGGCAAUCAAUGUCACACUAAUCAACAUUCAUAAAGCUCCAAAUGUUUUUCCUACCAUUGCACUGAAAAAAGUUUCUGCCACAGACCUCAGGACCCGAUUGUGUCACCAGCAGUAGAAGUCCUAUCCUACAGCUAUCAAGCAGAAACUAUGAUCAUUGUCACAGAAGGAGAAAUCUGCAGAGAGUGUUGGUAUGUUGCUCUUUCACCUGCAAAUCAUGGCCAGCUUGAACAUUAAGGCUUUCUUUGCAUCUUGUAGGUUAGACUAUCUUACACUGGGAACGGCCAACAAAGCCUAUUCAUCCAACCUCAACACUGCUCACUGUGAACUUUCCAGCUCAUCCUCUGACCCCCCCCCCCCCAGAGAUCCUGGUAUUUGUCCCUAACACUCAUUAGCCUCUUCCAUGCAGCCCUUUCAAGGAACUGUCAAUAAUACUAAGAUGACCCGGUUUGCAGGAAUGCAUGAUGUCAGCACCAUAUCUGGUCUUGAAGAGGUUGAUGUUACAAUGACUAUCCAGAUCAACCCACAGUUCCAAGUCUGAUGCUGAUGAGAGCAGACCUCAGGACGCGAUUGUGUCACCAGCAGUAGAAGUCCUAUCCUACAGCUGUCAUGCAGAUACUAUUAUCAUUGUCACAGAAGGGGAAAUCUGCAGAGAGUGUUGGUACGUUGCUCUUUCACCAGCAAAUCAUGGCCAGCUUGGAUCAUGAACUUGAUACUCCGUGACUGGGCCUUUCUGAUGUUAUUCCAUGUCAGCCUGCCAUGUAAUUUGUUUCUAUGCUUUAAAGACACAAGCACAGGUCAAUACCUACUGUGAAAAUCUGAGGCCUUUGGACUGCUGUACUGCAACUUGAAAAAUGGAAAACAACAGACUCUACAAUCAAUUUAGAGAAUAUCCAUAAAAUAAUUUCAGCUAUGAAUACUCAAUCAUCCAAGUAAUAUUACUAUGCAAUACAACUGGUAUGGAUGGCUUGUGUUAUAAAUAAAUACAACAUUGAUGAAAAUGUA